rnacentral:tRNA from 1 species
UGGGGUAUAGCCAAGCGGUAAGGCAACGGGUUUUGAUCCCGUCAUUUCCUAGGUUCGAAUCCUAGUACCCCAGCCA